UACAAUAAUUGAUGGGGUUACAAUAGUGGAUGGGGUUACAAUAAUGGAUGAGGUUACAAUAAUGGAUGGGGUUACAAUAGUGGAUGGGUUACAAUAAUGGAUGGGGUUACAAUAAUGGAUGGGGUUACAAUAAUGAAUGGGGUUACAAUAGUGGAUGGGGUUACAAUAAUGGAUGGGGUUACAAUAAUGGAUGGGGUUACAAUAAUGGAUGGGGUUACAAUAAUGGAUGGGGUUACAAUAAUGGAUGAGGUUACAAUAAUGGAUGGGGUUACAAUAGUGGAUGGGUUACAAUAAUGGAUGGGUUACAAUAAUGGAUGGGGUUACAAUAAUGAAUGGGGUUACAAUAAUGAAUGGGGUUACAAUAGUGGAUGGGGUUACAAUAAUGGAUGGGGUUACAAUAAUGGAUGGGGUUACAAUAAUGGAUGGGGUUACAAUAAUGGAUGAGGUUACAAUAAUGGAUGGGGUUACAAUAAUGGAUGGGGUUACAAUAAUGGAUGGGGUUACAAUAAUGGAUGGGGUUACAAUAACGGAUGGGGUUACAAUAACGGAUGGGGUUACAAUAGUAGAUGAGGUUACAAUAACGGAUGGGGUUACAAUAACGGAUGGGGUUACAAUAAAGGAUGGGUUACAAUAAUGGAUGAUGUUACAAUAAUGGAUGGGUUACAAUAAUGGAUGAGGUUACAAUAAUGGAUGGGGUUACAAUAAUGGAUGGGGUUACAAUA